AUACGGGGGGUGCAAGCGUUAUUCGGAAUUAUUGGGCGUAAAGGGCGCGUAGGCGGUCUUGUCGGUCAGAUGUGAAAGCCCGGGGCUCAACCCUGGAAGUGCAUUUGAAACAGCAAGACUCGAGUACGGGAGAGGAGAGCGGAAUUCCUGGUGUAGAGGUGAAAUUCGUAGAUAUCAGGAGGAACACCGAUGGCGAAGGCAGCUCUCUGGACCGAUACUGACGCUGAGGCGCGAAGGCGUGGGUAGCGAACAGGAUUAGAAACCCCAGUAGUCC
rnacentral:rRNA from 1 species